UCAAUAACAUUUUAUCAAUUUUUUUUUGUACUACGGUACAAAAAAAUUAAUAAAAUGUUAUUAAUUUUUUUAAAUUAAUAAAAUGUUAUUAAUAUAUAUUUAUAAAUUGAUAAAAUGUUAUUAAUUUUUUCGGGAUUGAUGUUUUCUUCUGUAAUUUUAUUAAGUAAACGUAGCUCUGCGGCACGUAGCACGUAGCUCGUAGCUUGGAGCUCGUAGCACGGAGCACGGAGCUGGUAGCACGGAGCACGGAGCUCGUAUCACGGAGCACGGAGCACGGAGCUCGUAGCACGGAGCACGACUGCUGCAUAAACCUGCCACUUACUUCUUUCGUUCUUAUAAUUAUAAAUCAUAUUUUUGGUACUCAGAUUAUUUCAAGUGCCUUUUAUUAUGUGUGGGACGUCAUAUAUACUCGUAUUUUCUGCCCAUUUACGGAAAAUAUGUCAUGUCGCCAUUUUUUGGCUACUCUUAAAAAUGAAUGACCUAAUUAAUUCAGUUAUUGCGCUUAUCGAAACAAGACGGGCGCAAUCCACGGCAAGGUGAGUGUGUUCGCCCCAGUCGCGCCACGGUGCCCUGAGCGUGGCCUUGGACAUAAUUAGUUCCGAUACAAUAUCAAGACUAAAUAAAAUAAAAUAAAAAAUAAAAAUAGCUUUAUUUCCUUACAAUUACAGACAUUUUUUUGAAAAUUAUUAUUAAGGUUUACAAGUUUUAUACAUUGUUAGUAGGUUAGUUGAUAUUAUCUAAUUUUUUUUUUAUAUUAUGUUAGUAAUGUUAAUUUUUCAUUUUAUUAUUCUUUUUUGUAAGGACUGCAUAUAGCAGUGAAAGCCUCCUCCAAUUGUAGCCACUGUAUUUUGUCUCUGGCUGUUCGUUGCCAUGUUUUACCUGCAACCCUGACUAUAUCGUCACUCCACCUUCUUAAUGGUCUACCCCGUUUGCGUUUUGAGUCUCGUGAUGUAUACACGACACGAGAUAUCAAGACUAGAGACUGUAAAAUCAACUUGACGUGGUGUGCUAGGGACUGGUGAAUAUAUUGGGCCAGAUGCUGUUUUUUUCAUUUCCACUGAUGGGUCAGGGGCUGGACAAUUGACUGAGCUAGAAGUUGUUGUUCUUUCUUCAAUAAUGACAAGCGUCAUCAUAAGGAAAACAAACAAAGGUCAUUCAUUUUCAGAAAGUGUGUUCAAAGUGUGUUUCCCUGCAAAUGUGGUAUAAAACGUUGUUUGACAUACGUGCGCUUUGAUAAUUACAGCCUCUGCUUCCUUACUAGCUCUCGCCUGUGGCUCGAUCUGCAAUAUCGCCUCGGCUGUAAUUUUCAACUUACCGCACUUAUAUCAUAAUGUACUGUUAUUGAAUCUUUUCUGUAGACUUGAGAAAUUAAUAUUCGAAACUUUAGCAGCUUUUCGUAUAGAAAAACCAUCUAAAAUAAGUUUGACCGCCUUGUCUAAAGUAUCCGAAGACCAGGAAGCCUUUGUAGUGGUUCUCAUUCGUACUUUCGCCAUUUAACACGUUCGCUGCGGUACGAGGUCAAUUGACCUCGUAUGCCUAGUGUGUUCAAGAGUUACGAGGUCGAUUGACCUCGUACCGCACCAGAGGAAAGUACAGAAAAAUCAGUGCCGCAGCGAAAGUGUUAAAACCAAAAUAACGAUUAGGAUAUCGUGGGUAGAUCCUAAAUGAAACUCGUACUGUUGUUCACUCGUGUAUUGAAAUUAAUCGGUAAUCUUAAAUGAUACUACACUAAAGUUAAUGUACAAGUAACACUUUCAACGUGUUCAAACGAGUUGAAUCAAAGAAGUUCAGACGGAACCCAUCGCCAUAGAAUGAACCACGAAUUGGCAAACCUAGUGAAAGGCGAAAAUAGUGCGUCAUUGUAAAACCCAACGUCUUCAGUGGCUAGGACACGUGGAGAGGAUGCCAAAUACUAGAGGGCCUAAAGUGAUGACAAAAUGGAGGCCACAGGUAAAAAGAUUAAAAGGAAGACCUAAAAAAAGAUGGCUAGAUUGUGUGAAAGAGGACCUGCAAAAAAUGGAAAAAAUAUCUGGGUAGGAAAGAAAGGCAAGGCAUAGAAAUGGAUGGAGAAAAGUGGUAGAGGAGGCCAAGACCCACAAAGGGUUGUAGCGCCGAAGGAAGUAAGUAACUCUUUCAACGUUACACAACACGGCGGAUACGUGUCGUAUCGCUCGCGGUUAGGGUCGUACUGUCUCUGUCUGGUCAAUAUGACGGGGAAUAUUAGCGUCCCUUUUCAUUUCCCGCGCUGGUUGACGGGCAAUGUUGCCAACAUAAAAAAUGUAACGCAUGCGUUCAGAAGCCGCCUUAAUAUAGCUUUUGCGGGAAAGUGAUCACUAGCGGGCAAUGGGAGUCACCCGAUUCUCAUUACUAAUAAACGGCUUUAUUGAAUUAAUUAGUCGAUCUUUUUACUCACACUGGUUGUACAAUGACACCGGAAGAAAGUAUCAAUCGACAAUAGACUUAAGCAUAGAUUAUAAACAUAGAUUAUACACAUACUCGGAGGAUACAUAGUUUAGUAUUUUGGUGAUACCAAUUUCUAACAAUUACCAACCCUGAUUUUAUUCCGUAACAGUUAAGUGCGGAUCAAGCAGCAAGAACUCGCGGCACAUUGCUGCUCAGUAGCCAGCCAGGAGGUCGAUGGACCUCGUACCGGACCACAUAAAGUUCUAGUAUGAGGUCAAAAAACCUCGUACCGCACCAAAGGAAAGUACAGAAAAUCAGUGCCGCACCAAACGUGUUAAGAAACAAAAAAAAAAUAAACACGAAAUAUAUAUUGGCAACGCUCGGGUUUUAAGUAUGUAAUCAUAAUACUGAAUGUACAAGUAAAGACAUGAAGUAACAGUUUUUGUUUGUUUUUGGUUAAAAAUGGAAAUUCACACACACUAUGUGUGUGAAUUUCCAUUUUUAACCGACUUCAAAAAAAGGAGGAGGUUAUCAAUUCGUCGAAAUCUUUUCGAAGCGAGUCACGAAUGCAGAGUUACUCAGCGGGCGAUAGAACGAGCUAUGUUAGGAGUAUCUCUGCGUGAUCGUAUCGCAUAUGGCGACAGGCGGGGCACAUAGUUCUGUAAUAUUGUUUAUUUAUUAAAUAAACCAUGUAACCAUAUUCAAGCUUGGUUUUAUUAUGUCACCACAGAUCCAUCUUGUCUCGUAUUGUAUAAAUCUUCAAUAGUAGGUAUAUAACAAUAUUAUUUAGAUCUUUUGGGUCAAGGCAUAUCCUAAUCGUUUUAUCAGGAUUUUCAAUAAUUACUAAACAGUUAACCCAUUCAGAAGGUUCAUUAACUUUGCUUAUUAUACCUAAACCCUCCAGUCUAGACAAUUCUUCUUGUAAUUAGGGUCUAAGCUUCAGAUGUACUCUAUAAGGUGGUUUGGAUGUUGGUAUAGUACCUUGUUUUAAUUUAAUAUCAUACUCCUUGUUAAACUUACCAAUACCGGUGAAUAAAUCAUUAUUAUUUCUAACUAAGUCCUCCAUAUUAAGUCUAUCUUCUGUUAUCACUGAUUACACCCUCUUAACUAAAUUUAAUCAGACACAUGCAUCACAACACAAUAUAGGCAUUGAAUUUUCAUUACCCGCAACACAAAAUGUCUGUUGAUAUGUUUUAUUGUUCACAACAAUAUUUAUGGUAGCCAACCCUGUUAUGGGCGUCUUUGACCUGUUCUCAGGUUGUGUUGUGUCUGUUUAAGUUUUGCACGUGUUCAAUAAAAUAAUAGGAUUUGUCCUAUCCAUUUUCUCAUGCAAAUGUUCUGGUAAUAUAUUAACGUCUGUCAGAGUAUAAGGGAUUUCACAUCAGAAGCGGUUCUCUGCAAACAAUUAUUGAAUGAAAGUCUGUGAGGUCUAACAAUUCCCACUAUGAAUGUUACCAAUAAACCCUGAGUGGCAGAGAAUGACCUUGAGUGGAGUCACGCACUUGUUAACGAUGUGUGUAGGGUUAAAGGCGCCUUUGACAGAUAUCUAACACUCCACUUUUCCACUCAAGUCACUCUCCCCGCCUAUCCCAAGUAACCAAUAAAGAAUUGCACAACAAGAGAUGUGGACGGCUCGAACGCCGCAGCACACUGAAGCGGUCCGUACCGCAAGUCGUUGCAACGCGGCGAUAACACGUCAGCUCUUAGAUCCAAUUUAAAGUUUAUCUUUAAAUCACCAGGAAGUAUCACCUCUUGGAACCAAGCCUUAGAUUUUAGGGGAUUCACCUUAAGCCCAUACUGUCUGCUCCAGGUAUCAAUUGCGCUAAGGUGAAAGUUUAUAGCAGAGACAGUUGAGCUAAGGUUCUCAAGAGAUGAUGAGCGGCAUAUUUGUACCCCUGCCGUAACAUCACACCAAGAUGAAAAGAAGUCAUCAACCCGAAUGCGCUGCUUACGCUGCUGCCUUUGAGGUAGCUCUGAAACCAGUCUAUAACCGAUGGAGAUAUGUUAAUAGAGCGUAAUAGACUCAACAAAAUGUCAUAGUCUACAGAAUUAAAAGCAUUCAAAUCAAGCAGAACUAGGACAGUGAGUUGUCUAUUGUCCAUCGCCCAACGAAUAUCGUCAGUAACUUUAGUCAAAGCGGUAACCGUACCAUGACCAGGACGAAAACCAGAUUGUAACGGACUUAAAAGUAAAUUUCGGUUUAAUAAUACGGAGAACUGCUGGAAGACAAGUUUUUCAAGGACUUUAGAAAGGAACGGUAAAAUAGAAAUUGGACGGAACAAAUUUUAUUAGGAAGAGGAAUAAUUUGUAACUUUGUGUUGACUAUGUUAAAUUUAAUUUAUUUAACCCCGCUCCGCUUACCCCUGUCCAAAGACGUAAGAGGAGCGGAGAUUUUAUGCAAUCUUAUUGGUUAAUAUUUCUCCGUUUCUCAUUAUAAUAUAUAAAAUUCAUUUAAAAAAUCGAAAAAAUCAUAAUUGUGUACAUUUGUAAAUUAUAAAAAUGAAUACUAAGAAAUUAUAUUAUGACAUAUAGUUAUUGUUGUUUUCUGUUCUCUAUCGCCGAUCUAUACUCUAGGAUAUCUAUGGUAUUUUCCGUUGGCGGUGUUCUCUGUCUACGGAUAAGUUACGCGCACUUGGCAAAAGCGUUACCAUAGCAACCAAUCGUGUAAACUCAUUCCAAUAAACGGGAAACUUUUUGUAUUUUAAAAAAUACUCUGUAAUUGUAAAUAGGUUUUAUUAUAAAUGUAUUUAAUAUGUUGUACAUAUUUAGGGAGAAGUGUAAAUAAUGCUAUGUGAACAAUUCAAACGAUGUCUCAGUGAUAAUAUCGGAUGACCUAUUUAUAAUGUCAAGGUAACAAAUAAAAUAUUCAUUGUAAUGCUUAGAUCAAUACUUUUGUAAUAUUAAUUAUUGACUACGUUGUUUUGAACAAAACCAGCCAAGUGCGAGUCGGUGUUUGGCUGGUGGGGGGCUUCGGCCGAGGCUAGUUACCACCUAAUCGGCAAACACCGCCAAGCGAUUUAGCGUUCCGAUACGAUAUCGUGUAGAAACCGAAAGGGGUGUGGAUUAUCAUCCUCCUCCUAACGAGUUAGUCCGCUUCUAUUUUAGAUCGUAUCAACACUAACCAUCAGGUGAGAUUGUAAUCAAGGGCUUACUUGUAAAAAAAAGACUCUCGUACGUAGUGUUCUGUACCUUAAUGUAUUAAAGUACUAGCGGACGCCUGCGUCUUCGUCCGCGUGGAAUUUAGUUUUUCACAAAUCCCUCGGGAACCAUGGAUUUUUCCGGGAUGAAAAGUAAUCUGUGUGUUAAUCCAAAGUAAAAUGUAUUACUAUUCUAAAUUUCCAGCCAAAUCGGUUCAGUAGUUGCGGUGUUAAAGAGUAACAAACAUCCAAACAAACUUUCGCGUUUGUUUGUAAAAGUAGCAGCCAACGACCGCAAGUGUCGACCACCUUCGUGGCUUUUUUUUUUAUUCUGUACAAGUUAGCCCUUUACUACAAUCUCACCUGAUGGUAAGUGAUGAUGCAGUCUAAGAUGGAAGCGAGCUAACUUGUUAGGAGGAGGAUGAAAAUCCACACUCCUUUCGGUUUCUACACGACAUCGUACCGGAACGCUAAAUCGCUUGGCGGUACGUCUUUGUCGGUCCACCCAGACCUGGAUAAAUUAAGAAAACCUCAAUCAGCCCAGCCGGGGAUCGAACCCAGGACCUCCGUCUUGUAAGUUCACUGCGCCAGUGAGGAGGCUGUCCGCGCUUCGGCUACUUUUGUGGCCUUUUUACCUUUCUUGUUUCUUAUGGCGUUUGUCUGUCUGUCGUUUGUGGCCCGUGUGUGGUGACACUUACGUGGAUUGCAUUGUUUCCAGAUAAAUUGAUAUAUUCAACAUGUCAACUAAAAUAUCUGCUGGCAAAAAGACAAAACGGGAAACGUCAAAGGACGACAUUGUAGCGAAGAAACCCGAAGAAAAAUUAAAGAACAGCAUAUACAGCGUAUCAACUCCACGUAAUUUUGUCCAAAAGCCGUUAGCUGCAGAUAUUUACGCGAGAAAGAGCAAUGUGCAAAGUUUGAAAGCUUCUAAAAAACUAUCGUCCCCCAAUAAAACUAGUAAUGAAUCCCCUAUGAAGGAUUUACUUAAAUCGUCUCCGUCAAACGUAAGCCUAACAAGUACAAAGAGUUAUAGAGUAAAACCUGCCCUUGAUUCUAAAUUAACUGCUAAACCUAACGCACCUUCAUCAAGACAUGCUGUCACUAAAAAGUUACCUUUCACAAACUCUCCAAUAGCUAAAAAAAGAUUGAAUGUAGAUGAUGAACAAAAAAAGACGAAAGAUAAGAAAACAAUUGAUAAUAAAGAUGUUAAACACAAAGAUAAGAAAAGAUCAGAGCAAAUACAAAGCGUAGAGGUGGUUAAAAGAAAAGAAAUAGUUAAUCCUUCAGUGGUGUUGCCAGAACGUAAACGAACUAAAACGAGGACUUUGGACGACGAAGAAAUAAAAAUUCUGACACCUGAUGUAGUAGAUAAUAAUUUAGAAAUGUUAAAUAUGAAUAAGAAACUAACUGCACAGCCAAAAGCGUUUUAUGUGGAUUUAAAUGUACAGAAACCCAAGCCGCCCCAAAAAGCUUUGGAACAAAAAAGAGAAAUUGAGGAAGAAGUUGAUUAUGAAGACGACUUUGAAAGUUACGAAUCAGACUUCGAUUCGUACCAAAGUGAAUCACUAAAUGAUGACACUAGUUUGUCAAAUGAUUCUCGUAGCAAUAACGAUGACGAUGGAGAUGUUUGUAAAUGUCACGAUGAUCAUUCAUUUGAUAGUAAUUUACAAGAAAGUGAUGAAUCACACUUAAAAGAGGAAAGGAUGCUCGAUUCUGGCAAUUUCGAACUACCCGAUCCACGUUCAGCGGGAAAAACAAAACCGAUGGACCAUAUCGUGGAGGGUUCUGAAGAUAUUGAGAAGAGGGUGUCCUUAACCGACGAAGGCUUUCAAGACAUGACUGGCUCUGGUCUAUCUAGCAUGAAAACCUUGCAUGUUGAUGUUCUAGACAGACCACUCUUCAUAGACUUCACAAAAUCCAAAGUGAAUCGACGUAAAAGGAAGAUUUUCGAGAGGCUCAAACAACGGGCCGAUGAUAUACUCAGUAUGGUGACUUUGCAUGAAAUGUCAUAUGAUUUAUACGAAAUGAAACCCAUACCCUACGAUUUGUAUAUGGCAACAUUUGGUAGAUUUAAUUAUACGCAAACUGCUGUGCAGACUUUUGAUGAUGGUAUCACCGAGGAAGUCCAAACUGACGAAAUAGUAAUGACUGACAAAUGGACACAAAAUCCUAUAGAAUUUUCUAAUAAUUAUCAUUUUAACACUAAAACGAGUGAUAAAAUUAAUAAAAGAGAUAGUGUGGAUAAUUUUGAAUUUCUUAUUCAUAACGUUCAGGAUGAUGCAAAUGAAAUAAUCGAUGAAAGUUAUUUCACUAAUCCUUUAAGAAUUUAUUUAGAGCAGAAAGACGGUGUUAGUACAAAUAAAAUGUUGCCAUAUGAAAACUAUAAAAAGAAAUUAAAAAACGUUGAAUACGAACCGAAAAAGUUGAGGAAAUUUCUCAAAAAAAUGGAAAGCAGAGUUAGUAAUAUACUUAAUAAAAACUCUGGGAACUCUUUAUCGAAUCUGAACCAAACGUCGAAGUUCCCUUUUAGUAAAGAAUACUUAUUAAUAAGCAAUACAAAUAUGACAGAAGAUUAUUCUUUUUUAAACAACACACGUAUAAUAGCUGCCAUAUAUUCUGAUACUAAAACUAAUAUGAUAGCGAUGGUGCAUAGUAAGUUACCAAGCAAAUUAAAAAAGUGUGUCAUAUCGUUGUGGGAUUUAGGUGUUGCCAUGUUGAAGCCUUUGAAAAUACUGAUAGCUACUGAUGACGUCACAAUUGGAAGGUUUAGAGGCAGCAUUAGUGGUUUUAUUGUCGGAGGGUUGUGUGACGGGUCCAUUCUACUGUGGGACCUGUCAGAAGAGCCGACUUGGUUUGACCAUGACACUACUGAAGAAGACAGUGAAAUUGAUUUAAAAGUACAAAGUGGAAAUAAAUGUGAUGAUAGUAAUAAAAAUGGCAACAUUCAAACUCUGAAGAAACACACACUACAAGCUAGUUCGUAUACAAGCAGCGCUUUCAAUGUAUGUAACAACCUAGUGACAGACAAAAUCGUAGGCUUGGAGUUUAUGGGAGAGAACUCGAAUGUGGAUCACGACCGGAGGGUAUUGGUUCAGCUAUGUGCGCUACAGAGUAUAGGCAUCCUCACAAUAUGGUCUAUAAUACAGGAGAAGGCUAGAAAUUUCAAACACGAGCUCGGAAAGGCUCUGUGGUCCAAAAUGAAAUUAGAAAGAAACCAAACUAUAAAUCUAAUGCAAUACAUAGAAAUGCCAAUACAGGAUAUAGAAAUGGCGAAUUUGAGUUUCAAUUUGAACACGGCGAAGAAACGAAUGUUAAAAAAACGUAACGAAAGGCACAAAUACAAAAUUACUCGUCCGAAGUCCGCCAUUUUAAAAGACGAAAGUAAAAGAUCGAUUGAUUGUGAUUCUUGGGGUAAUGGUGUUGUUUGCAAUCAUUUAAAAGUUAUGAAAUUGAAUGGUGUUGAAAAUUUUUUGGUUGCUAAAUGUGGUGGAGAAGUCUUGUGUUGUAAGAGAGACGUCGGCAGUGUUAGAGUUAAAGUGAUCUGUAUCGCUGAAAUGGUCCGUCAUUGGCAGUAGAAAAAUGUCUUUCAGACAGUAAAGGGAGAUAUUUGGGAAGCGUUUCAGUCAGUACUGGUUCAUCGGAAGAUUACAAAGAAUCUAAGCUACCAAUCACAAGCAUCGCCUGGUUACAUCCAAACCCCUUCUGUAUCACUGCGACGCUGGCGACCGGUGCAGUUGUGUGGGUGUUGACCCAUAGCGACAUGAGAGCUAAGUGCAGAGGCGACGGACUCGCUUGCACCA